rnacentral:snRNA from 1 species
GGAGGGAGGUUGGUCAUCUCAAAGU